rnacentral:rRNA from 1 species
AGGACGAACGCUGGCGGCGUGCUUAACACAUGCAAGUCGAACGGUGACGGAGAGCUUGCUCUCCUGAUCAGUGGCGAACGGGUGAGUAACACGUGGGCAAUCUGCCCCUGACUUCGGGAUAACGCUUCGAAAGAGGUGCUAAUACCGAAUACGAAUCCUGCAGGCAUCUGCGGGAUUGGAAAGUUUUUCGGUCAAGGAUGAGCUCGCGGCCUAUCAGCUAGUUGGUGAGGUAAUGGCUCACCAAGGCGACGACGGGUAGCCGGCCUGAGAGGGUGACCGGCCACACUGGAACUGAGACACGGUCCAGACUCCUACGGGAGGCAGCAGUGGGGAAUAUUGCACAAUGGACGAAAGUCUGAUGCAGCAACGCCGCGUGAGGGAUGAAGGCCUUCGGGUUGUAAACCUCUUUUAGCAGGGAAGAAGCGAAAGUGACGGUACCUGCAGAAAAAGCACCGGCUAACUACGUG